UUUGUUUCAAGAAAAUGAGAUUUUCAGGCUGAUUCGAUAGUAAAUUCUGCCUGCCGAUUUUUCGGCUUGCCGGGACCGAAUUUCCUUGCUGUGACUGGUUUAUUUGCAAUUUUCACAGGGGCUGAACAUAUUGCAACUUUAGGUCAAUUCGGUUAUAAUUACCUCAUUCGCCGAUUAACGGCGAGAUUUUAGGAGGUUGUUCAUUUGAGAGGAACAGUUAAGUGGUUUAACGCAGAAAAAGGUUAUGGUUUUAUCUCCGUAGAGGACGGCAACGAUGUAUUCGUUCACUUCUCUGCAAUCCAAGGCGACGGCUUCAAAACUUUGGAAGAAGGCCAAGCGGUUGAGUUCGACAUCACUGAAGGCAACCGUGGUCCUCAAGCAUCCAACGUGGUGAAACUGUAAGUCUCGCAUACGCGAAGACUUAUCUUCAUAACACGACCGUAAACGAACGAAGCCCCUGGCCGCAGCCGGGGGCUUUGAC
rnacentral:sRNA from 1 species